rnacentral:rRNA from 1 species
AGUGAACGCUGGCGGUAGGCCUAACACAUGCAAGUCGAACGGCAGCACAGUAAGAGCUUGCUCUUACGGGUGGCGAGUGGCGGACGGGUGAGGAAUACAUCGGAAUCUACUUUUUCGUGGGGGAUAACGUAGGGAAACUUACGCUAAUACCGCAUACGACCUACGGGUGAAAGCAGGGGAUCUUCGGACCUUGCGCGAUUGAAUGAGCCGAUGUCGGAUUAGCUAGUUGGCGGGGUAAAGGCCCACCAAGGCGACGAUCCGUAGCUGGUCUGAGAGGAUGAUCCGCCACACUGGAACUGAGACACGGUCCAGACUCCUACGGGAGGCAGCAGUGGGGAAUAUUGGACAAUGGGCGCAAGCCUGAUCCAGCCAUACCGCGUGGGUGAAGAAGGCCUUCGGGUUGUAAAGCCCUUUUGUUGGGAAAGAAAAGCAGCAGGUUAAUACCCCGCUGUUCUGACGGUACCCAAAGAAUAGGCACCGGCUAACUUCGUG